GAUGAACGCUGGCGGCGUGCCUAAUACAUGCAAGUCGAGCGAACAGACGAGGAGCUUGCUCCUCUGACGUUAGCGGCGGACGGGUGAGUAACACGUGGAUAACCUACCUAUAAGACUGGGAUAACUUCGGGAAACCGGAGCUAAUACCGGAUCAUAUAUUGAACCGCAUGGAUCAAUAGUGAAAGACGGUUUUGCUGUCACUUAUAGAUGGAUCCGCGCCGCAUUAGCUAGUUGGUAAGGUAACGGCUUACCAAGGCAACGAUGCGUAGCCGACCUGAGAGGAUGAUCGGCCACACUGGAACUGAGACACGGUCCAGACUCCUACGGGAGGCAGCAGUGGGGAAUCUUCCGCAAUGGGCGAAAGCCUGACGGAGCAACGCCGCGUGAGUGAUGAAGGUCUUCGGAUCGUAAAGCUCUGUUAUUAGGGAAGAACAAAUGUGUAAGUAACUAUGCACGUCUUGACGGUACCUAAUCAGAAAGCCACGGCUAACUACGUG
rnacentral:rRNA from 1 species